GAUGUAAAUAAAUACAAUAACUACUUUUUAAAAAGUACCUUGAAUUUUAGGAAGAAAAAGGUAUGAAAAUGUUGAUACUUUUCUUGUAUCAAUUACCUGAGAAGCUUGCAUGAAGAGUGUAUUUGACAUACACUAAGUAAAACAGAUUAUUAAACAUUUUGACUGUUUAAUUUUUACUUUAAAAUGGGUAGUUAGGGUCUGGGUGUAGCAGCUUAGUUGGUAGAGUGCCUGGUUAGCCUGCACCAAGUUCUGGGUUUGAUUUCUAGGCCACAUAAACUAGAUGUGGUAGUGUACACCUGUGAUUUCAGCACUUAGGAGGUAGAGGCAGGAGGAUCAGGAACUUAAGAUCACCCUCAGUUACACGUCAACUUUGAGGGCCACCCUGGACCCCAUGAGGCCUUGCCUUUAAAACAAAGUGAGAUUACUUAGAAAUGUUUAAAUGCUCCAUGAGAACAAUUUAUUGCUCUGGGAUCGUGCUAGCCUAAAGUAUAAGUGAGCCACUGUUAGAAAUCAGAGCACCUGGUUCUGAGUCCAGGAGAAAGCAGCCUCUUCAGCGUAGCCCAAGAUCUCACCAGUGAUGAAGAAGAUAGCGAUAUCUCCCACCCAUUUAAACCUUACGAUCUCCUGUCUCAGCUUUGAAAAGUACCAAGCCCUUCUGAUAACUCAAAUAUAAUGUGAAGAUAUACUCUGAUCUCUGAAAUUAGAAUAAUCAAGAACGUCUUCCUCGUCUAUGAAGAAAGCCAUGUAAUCAGUUCAAUAAUUGUGAGCAAUUAGCUAACCUUCAGCAAGCAUCGGGGUUGCUCCAAGCAAUAAAUAGGCAGCUUUAAGGACUACACAAACUGAAUUUCUAGCAAGGUAAGUUCAAACUGGGAUAGAACCAGAGGUGGUCUCUCUGCAGACAGAGCUUUGCUUUCUGACUGACUGGUAACCUUGGUAACAAAAAGGAGACUGUUUUCAGUUCACUUCUCUACAGCCAUUGUUGUUGGGAGAUGUAAAAUGGAUAGGGCAGAAGAAACAGUCAAAUAAGAUCCAGAGAAAAACUUAAAUGGUGGGCCAUGGGCAGCUUUUCCAGAGCAGGUGAGGACCAGGGCUCAGGCACUCAGUUGCUGAUGCCACUGAGUAGAUAGAAGGAUGGAGAAGAGGCAGGAUGAAGCUUCAUGCUUACCACAGGCACCAUAUGCCCUGAAAGAGACCAUCAGGAUCCGGCUCCUGUUUCACAGAUGGGAGAAAGGGCAGCAGGGGAGGCCAAGCCUCUGGGAAAGGCUGGUGUUUCCAGGCCCUGGGCUGGGUUAGAAGCCCAGAGGGAAUAAGAGGCCUUCUCCGUCCCUCUCUCCCUCCCUCCUUCCUUCCCUCCCUUCAGCCAUUCUUACUGGGAGGAGAUCCUGUCUAUUUGACAGUGUUUCCUUCGCCAAGGAAGCAGCCUGUAAAAUGAUUAGCUCACAAAGUGUACUGUUUCAAAAUCAAUUUUUAAGAAAAUUGUCCAUACUUCUAUGCACAGGUCCAUAAAAAAAUAAGUUAGGAGAGAAUCAUAAGAGAACAUUCGCUCUUUCAGAACAAAAGAAGAGGCCCGUUUUGCUGCAGGAAAAAAAAUGGUUCCUUAUUCUUCAUUAAUUUCCCCUAAGUUCAAGUCCACAUGUAGGCUAUUAACAGACAAAGGCCAGAUCCCAAUACAGAGAACACCAAGAGAUUUAUAGACACCUCUUACACUCAAGAAAAUUGUCACAGUGUUAUUUGAAAUAUGAGUUACUGGAUCUGGUAUGGAAAUAUUUCUUUACAUUUAUUCAAUAAUUAGUUCCUGAAUGGCAGCUGUAUGCCAGGCACAGCUCUGGGCCUGGGGGCAGGGAAGAUGAUUAAAGCCCUGGGGAGGACCAUCCGUUCUGAGUGAGUAAGUGUGGAGUGUGUCGUCAGGGGCAGGAUGAGGGGCUGGGGACGACCGGGUUUGGAGAUAUGGGGUGGAUGGCAAGGGAAGACCCUGUAGGAAAUGGUGGGUGCAGAGAUCGAGUUCCUGAGAAUUAAGGAGAGAAGAGGAUCACAGAAGGAACAAGACGUGGGAGACACAGCAUGUGCUUGAAGUGAAUCCACUUCUGUGGACAAGAGCUGUCGUGUAGUCCUCAUAGAACUCGAGGCAGUCAAUAAAAGUAGAGAAUUGUAGACUGGUGGCCAUGCUGGAGAGAAGAGUGGGGGAAUGCAAGGAAGAGGAGCUGAAGUUAAACAUCUCUGGAUGACUGCAUCUCAGUGAUCUCUGAUGAAAUUCCCACAUAAUCUGAUUUUUUAAAAGUCGGCAUGGUUGAUGUUUUGGACAGAUAACUCAAUGUUUGGAGUUGGAUCUGCAGUCAUGCACACUGGAAGGUGUUUCACUACAGUCCUGGUGUGUCUCAACUUAGGACCAGGAACAUUUUUCUCAUUUAUAACGGCCUGAGAUAAUUCCACUGUGGCUCACUGCCACAUCCUCUAGGGAUGGGGGACAAAGUCACCUGAGGUUUAGAAUCACUGUUCCAAACACAAGUGGACAGAGUGUUAUUCUUUCUGAAGAAAUGUCAUCACAGGAAAGGAGUUCACUUAACAUUGAUUUCUAAUCUGACAGAUAAGAAGCUAGGUAUGUCUGGUAGCAAGGUACCAAGGACUUUUUAUGGGGGAUCAGUCUCUGUAUCGGCAGCUUCAUCUCAAGGUUUCAGUUCUCCAUGGUCAACCAUGACCUGAAAAUGCUGAGUAUUCUAGAAGUAAACAAAUUUUUCAUCUAAAAAUCACGCAGUUCUGAGCAAAAGAAACACAGUUGAUGAUUGCUUUGUCCUGUCCAGGCUGAAGAUGGGAAUUCUCUCUUUCCCCAAUAUAUCCAAACACUCUCCUUAUGUUCCCAUAAGUCAUCUUAAAUUGUCUUUAAUUCCAGGAUGGACCAUCGUGCUAUCCCAGAGCUCGUGUUCAAGCACCCUUCAUUUUAUUCGGUAAUAACAUUAGAGCUCACCUGGGCAGUCUUUGCACAGCAACAGAUCAGAGAGAAGCUGCAAAAACAUGAAAGUUUCCAGCUUAUUGAGGAAAGAAAAGACACAGUAUGCAGAGCUCCCUAAGAUCUAAAAUAAGAGCUCUCCCAACUGUGAGGCAUGAAAACGCUAUCCCCAGAGUAUGCAGAAAGUGCUUAGUCAUUCAUCUCCCUUUGUCCCCUCCCUCAGCACUGCAAGAACAGCGAGUACAGUGUGGUAAGAUCUCUCUUCAGAGAGAGAGCUCUAUUCAGAGCUGUUACUAUAGUAUGCUGUUAGUCCAUUCUAUUACUAACUAUAGAUGUGUCUCACUUAUUAGUUAAACUUAUACACAAACAAAAUGAAAUAUGUGCAGGGUUUGACAGUAUCCAAAAACUUAGGCAUCCACUGAGAGCCUCGGGGCAUAGCUUCCAAAAUAAUGGAGUAUUAGCUUAUUCAGUCCAUGCAACAAUUUUGUAAGUAAGAGAUCACUAAUCUUGGGGAAACUGAGCCUUCCGGAGGUGAGUGACUUGUCAGAUGUCGUUUAGCUAGUGAACAACACAGCCAGGAUUCAAACCCAGGUUUGUCUGACUCCAAAGAUCAAUGCUUGUUCUGACCCCCGCACUGUCCAAUAUAGUAGAUGUAAUCAUAUAGAGCUAUUAAGAUUAAAAUGUAAAGGCAUUCAAAUUUAAAUUUCACUUGUACUUGCUACAUUUCGACCACUCAGCUCUGAUACGUGACUAAUGACGUGACCAGUGUCUUGGGCAUGCAUAUGUAGCACAUUUUCAGCCUCCCAGGAGGACUGCUCUGGACCAGUUGGCCCAGAAAGCGGUGGUGGCAUGAGACAGGCAAGCAAAGUGGACGGUCUUCAUCUCCCUAAUUGCUAUUCUUUGUACCCUUCCUUCUGGAAGGCUUACACAGUCUGCCCAUGAUGACCUGCUUCUGUACAGAAAUUCUAGCAAGAAGCAGGAAUGCUGCUAGGAAUUUUGCUUUUGUUUGCAGAAAUGGUUCUUAAUGGCAAGAGACAGGCCUGCCGCAAGUCACCAGGAAGGAGUCUAUUUUUAGAUCUAUGUGGGCCGACAAUGGCACCAAGCGUUUCUUGAUCUUGUGAGCAUGGAAAAGGAAGGAAAGAAACACAUGGUCUUAUUGAGUCCAAGCAGAAAAUUGAUGUCAGAAUCAUUCCUUUCCUUAUUACUUUUUUUUAAUACAGACCUGAGUGUCCCCACAGACUGUGAGAUGUGUGCUCAGUGUCACAUGGUACAGCAGAGACAACUAGAGCCUCCCGAAUGCUGCCCGUCUUGGCACAAUUAGAGUCCAGAAGAUGGAUACGAAGCCCAGGUACUUUGUUGUAGCCACAGGACAAGGGAUUAAUUCAGCAUAAAGUUCUGCCUUGGAAAUUAUGGUAGGGCUUGUAAGAACCUGACAUUGGACAGAUCCUGAAGCUACCCGUCUCAGGCCUACCUGUAGACAGAGCCUUGGAACAGCUCCUGUGCUGGGGCCAUACAGGAGCCCUUAGCUUUGGACAUCAGUAUUGGCCAGCAUGGGACUUUUCAGGUGAAGCCAGAACCCUUGUCCUCUUCAAUGGGGUUCACAUCAAGGGAUGAAAUAAGAGGCAGUGGGGACUUCUUUUUCUUGUGACACCGCUCUGCCUGUGGGGAACUCUCCUGCUGUCUCCUGUUUUCUCACUGUUCCACACAGGUGACGGGAGGUAUCACAUUAAUUCAUCAUCGAGAGGUACAGUCUGGCCCACGAUCUCUGCCCACCGUGCACGGUUCCUGCUGUGUUUGCCAAGGAUGAGUUGGGGUACAGUAUUGAGGAUUUCAUUCAACCCCCUCACCUCCAGUAAAGAACCCCAACCAACCAAACAGAAACCCAUAACGCUAUUGUUUUGCCUAUAGGUCAUCAAAGCAAGCAGAGCCCAAAACUCCACGUUCUUUUGUGUUUCUAUGAAGGAGGAGCACAUAACUGGGAUAAACCGGUUUCAAUAUUUUCUGUUCUCUUGGAGCUCCUCUCUCUUCAAUGGUCUCUCUUAUUUUUGGUGUGAAUUUUUGCUCCUCGCCCACUUGGGUCCCUCAGACAUGGUAGCAUUUUCCAAAGCCUCUCUUUUGUCCCCAGAUUGGACUCUGUCACCAGUGGUAGCCCAGUGCAUAGGCAAACAGGACAGAAUAGAAACGACCCUCUAAUUUGCUCAGACACUUGUACAGAUAAAGUCAUCAUCAUUCCACUUAAAUAAUACCUGAAUUUAACCUUAGAACUUACUUUUCUGGGAGAGAGGAUGGUCAUUCAGCAGCACAACUUUGCCAUGUUCUUGCCAAGUAGCCAAGGAUGACCUUGGACUUCUGAUCCUCUUGCUUGAAGUCCCUGAGUUCUGGGUGCUGGAAUUGCAUGUGUGUACCACCAUGCCCAUUGUAAUUUCUGCAGAGUGGUGCAGCUCAGUGGUGCAGCACCUUUAUGGUAUGAGCUAGGCUUUGGGGGGCUUGAUACCAACAUAAAAAUAAACAGUUCCAAAUUUCCCUAACUUAGGCUUUUCUUUUGCUCUACAAAGGAGGAAGGUCAUUUUGGUGUGUGAGAAACAUGGUCUCACUAUGUAGCACCUGCUCCAGCCUGGAUAAACUUUGUGGUGUCUUUUAAGCAAGAGAAAAGGAGUGAAAGCAGGACUCCCUGCUCAGAUCUCUCGGUCAAGAAUAGGCUGCUGGUGGCUCUGUUACAACCAGGCGUAGCUGGCUUCUGUCUUAAGAAACAUGUGAAGCAGAUUGGUUUCAUUAAUGCCCAUCACCUGAAAAUUUAAAUUUUACUUGAUAGCAAGUAGAUUAUUUUUUAAAUGGGGUCUUGUUCGGUAGCCCUGUCUGGCACAGAACUCACUGCGUUUAAACCAGGCUGGUCUUCAACUUUUAACAAUCUUCCUGUUUCUGCCUCCCAAAUGCUCAGAUUAUUGGUAUGCACUACCUCGCCUGUUACUAGUAAGACUAGUUUUCCUUUGAGCAAAACGAACACAUUUCUAUUGUAGAAGCUUAGGAAAGCACAGAGCAAGUGCACACAGAAAAGACAAGGCACGUUUAGGUCUACUGCCUUAUAGUUGCUUCUUGUAAGGUUUUCCACAGUGCCCCAAGGGGAGUAAAGAAUGCCUUCCAGGGCUACGUUUAGUCAAUUCCGGGACCUUAGCAAGAGGGACAACAUCUUCGUUCAGUCAAGGAUGCUUUUAAAAACACUGGUCAAUGACGAUCAUAUAAUCAUGUCUCUAAGGAUACAUUUGCCCACUGGGACUAUGAUUGUCAGGUAGUGGGUGAUUGGGUUUGUUGUUAUUUUUAGUCAUUGUUUCUCCUAACUGGAUCCUUUAAAAACACAGAACCUAAAGUCAAUGACGAAUGUAAGUAGGUCAGAGCCUAAAUGAGUGAAUCACAGCUCCUGUUUCACCCAUAUGGUUGUCCUUAGCUCAAUGCUCCUGUCUAACCCGAAUGAACCCUGAAGGCUCAUCAGGUUGAGCUCGGAUAAAUGGAGCCUAGUCUGGUUUCAGGAAUCCCUGAGCCUCACUGGAUAUCUCCUCCUGAGGUUUUGGUGGGUGACAUAGUUAGCAUUAACUGUCAACUUGACAGAGCCUAGAAUCCUCUGGGAGUGGGGAGCAGCGUUAGUUGAGUAAUUGUCUUUAUAAGAUUGUUCAGUGGGUAUGUAUGUCUGUGAGGGAUUGUCUUGAUGGCAGAUUGAUGCAGAAGGACCUGGUCCACCUUGAGUGGUCAGGUGGACCAGGGCUAUGUAACGAAGUUUAGGCAAGACAGCAAGCAGCUUCUUCAUGGCUUUUGCUUCAAGUUCUCCUUUGAGUUCCUGCCCUGAUCUCCCUCAGUGAAUCCCUCAAUGAUCUGGAAUUAGAACCAAAUAAAGCCUUUCCUCCUUUCAGUUGCUUUUAGUAGGCCUGAUGCUGUGAAAAGCCUCAAAGAUACCAUCCUAUUUAACCCCCCCAAUAGCCAUUUGUGUUUGCUACCACUUUUUCUUAAAGGGAAGGAAGUAAAUGUGUAGAAGGUUCAGUGAUUGCUCAAAGCCACACAGCCUGUGAGGGGCGGAGCCCAGGCCACACCCUUCUCAUUCCAAAUUCCUUACUUCAAUCAGGGAAUAUCAUAGAAUUUGUAUUCAAUUUUGACUGUUCUGUAUAUUUGGCCUUGUAUUAUAAACAUUUAUUUGAAUUAUUAAAUGACUUUUGUUAUACCUGAAACGUCAAAAAUUGAUGU